AUUGAACGCUGGCGGCAGGCCUAACACAUGCAAGUCGAGCGUGAAAGUCCUUCGGGAGUGAGUAAAGACGGCGGACGGGUGAGUAACGCGUAGGAAUCUACCUAAUAGUGGGGGAGUAACGUUUCGAAAGGAACGCUAAUACCGCAUACGUUCUGAGGAAGAAAGCAGGGAUCGCAAGACCUUGCGCUAUUAGAUGAGCCUGCGUCCGAUUAGCUAGUUGGUGGGGUAAAGGCCUACCAAGGCGACGAUCGGUAACUGGUCUGAGAGGAUGAUCAGUCACACUGGAACUGAGACACGGUCCAGACUCCUACGGGAGGCAGCAGUGGGAAUAUUGGACAAUGGGGGCAACCCUGAUCCAGCCAUGCCGCGUGUGUGAAGAAGGCC
rnacentral:rRNA from 1 species